rnacentral:rRNA from 1 species
AUUCCAGCUCCAAUAGCGUAUAUUAAAGUUGUUGCAGUUAAAAAGCUCGUAGUUGGAUUUUGGGUCGGGGGCACCGGUCCGCCGUUCCGGUGUGCACUGGUGGCCCCUUCCUUUCUGCCGGGGACGUGCGUCGCACUUAAUUGGGUGGCGUUCGGAGUCGGCGUUGUUACUUUGAGAAAAUUAGAGUGUUCAAAGCAAGCCAUCGCUCUGAAUACAUUAGCAUGGAAUAACAUGAUAGGACUCCGGUCUUAUUUUGUUGGUUUCCGAGACUGGAGUAAUGAUUAAGAGGGACAGUCGGGGACAUCCGUAUUUCAUUGUCAGAGGUGAAAUUCUUGGAUUUAUGAAAGACGAACUUCUGCGAAAGCAUUUGCCAAGGAUGUUUUCAUUG